UACGGGGGGGGCAAGCGUUGGUCGGAAUUACUGGGCGUAAAGGGCUCGUAGGUGGCCAACUAAGUCAGACGUGAAAUCCCUCGGCUUAACCGGGGAACUGCGUCUGAUACUGGAUGGCUUGAGUUCGGGAGAGGGAUGCGGAAUUCCAGGUGUAGCGGUGAAAUGCGUAGAUAUCUGGAGGAACACCGGUGGCGAAGGCGGCAUCCUGGACCGACACUGACACUGAGGAGCGAAAGCCAGGGGAGCAAACGGG
rnacentral:rRNA from 1 species